rnacentral:rRNA from 1 species
AGAAUCAACGCUGGCGGCGUGCCUAACACAUGCAAGUCGAACGAGAAAGGGACUUCGGUCCUGAGUAUAGUGGCGCACGGGUGAGUAACACGUGAAUAAUCUACCUCCGAGUGGGGAAUAACUGAGAGAAAUCUUAGCUAAUACCGCAUAACACUUACGAGUCAAAGCAGCAAUGCGCUUGGAGAGGAGUUCGCGGCCGAUUAGUUAGUUGGCGGGGUAAUGGCCCACCAAGACGAUGAUCGGUAUCCGGCCUGAGAGGGCGCACGGACACACUGGAACUGAAACACGGUCCAGACUCCUACGGGAGGCAGCAGUGGGGAAUUUUGCGCAAUGGGGGAAACCCUGACGCAGCAACGCCGCGUGGAGGAUGAAGUAUUUCGGUACGUAAACUCCUUUCGAUGGGGAAGAUAAUGACGGUACCCAUAGAAGAAGCCCGGCUAACUUCGCGCCAGCAGCCGC